UCAGACGAUGCGUCAUGCAUAUCAAUAAGCGGAGGAAAAGAAACUAACAAGGAUUCCCCUAGUAACGGCGAGUGAAGCGGGAAGAGCUCAAAUUUGAAAUCUUAAAGGGUUUCCCUUUACGAAUUGUAGUUUAAGGAAGUGUUUUCUGUUGAGGUUUUGGUAAAAGUUCUUUGGAAUAGGACAUCAUAGAGGGUGAGAAUCCCGUAUUUGACCUUUACUUUCAACUUUGUGAUACACUUUCAAAGAGUCGGAUUGUUUGGGAAUGCAGUCCAAAAUGGGUGGUAAAUUUCAUCUAAAGCUAAAUAUUGGCGAGAGACCGAUAGCGAACAAGUACCGUGAGGGAAAGAUGAAAAGAACUUUGAAAAGAGAGUUAAACAGUACGUGAAAUUGUCAAAAGGGAAGCGUUUGACACCAGUGUUGUUUUUCUGAAAAUCAAUUAAAGAACUGUUUAUGCUAAGCUGUUUAGACUUUAUCAGCUAUCUGUUUAGUUUUGAGCUUUUCUUUAAUGCACUUUUCAGUUAACAAGUCAACAUCAAUUUCUUUUGCUGUAAAAAAGCUUGAGGAAGGUGGCUUGAGAUUCGUCUUAAGUGUUUAUAGCCUCUUGCCUAUGCAGUCGGAGAGAUUGAGGUCUGCAGCGUAGAUCCUUCGGGGCUAAAUGCAUUUGUGCUAAGUUAUAGCAUUUUAUAGACAACUUGUUGACUAUGAUUUGUCUUGUAGCUUACUCGCUUAUGUUAUUUUACCUACGCUUAGGAUGUUGACACACGCGCGUGCUCG
rnacentral:rRNA from 1 species